rnacentral:rRNA from 1 species
AUUGAACGCUGGCGGCAGGCCUAACACAUGCAAGUCGAGCGGAUGAAGGGAGCUUGCUCCUGGAUUCAGCGGCGGACGGGUGAGUAAUGCCUAGGAAUCUGCCUGGCAGUGGGGGAUAACGUCCGGAAACGGGCGCUAAUACCGCAUACGUCCUGAGGGAGAAAGUGGGGGAUCUUCGGACCUCACGCUAUCAGAUGAGACUAGGUCGGAUUAGCUAGUUGGUGGGGUAAAGGCCUACCAAGGCGACGAUCCGUAACAGGUCUGAGAGGAUGAUCAGUCACACUGGAACUGAGACACGGUCCAGACUCCUACGGGAGGCAGCAGUGGGGAAUAUUGGACAAUGGGCGAAAGCCUGAUCCAGCCAUGCCGCGUGUGUGAAGAAGGUCUUCGGAUUGUAAAGCACUUUAAGUUGGGAGGAAGGGCAGUAAGUGAAUACCUUGCUGUUUUGACGUUACCAACAGAAUAAGCACCGGCUAACUUCGUG